rnacentral:rRNA from 1 species
UACGUAGGGUCCGAGCGUUGUCCGGAUUUAUUGGGCGUAAAGAGCUCGUAGGCGGUUCCGUAAGUCAGAUGUGAAAACUCAGGGCUCAACCCGGAGACGCCAUCUGAUACUGCGGUGACUGGAGUCUGGUAGGGGAACACGGAAUUCCUGGUGUAGCGGUGAAAUGCGCAGAUAUCAGGAGGAACACCGAUGGCGAGGGCGGGUCUCUGGGCAAUAACUGACGCUGAGGAGCGAAAGCGUGGGGAGCGAACAGG